ACAGGGAUUUGUAUUCUCGGGAGGGCAGCAUGGAGAGUGUGUGUUACAAGCCCUCUCUGUGCCAUUCUACAGAGGAUAUGAGAUACAUCCUUACCUAGAGAGCUUUAACUCAAGCUGUAGCAACUCACAAGUGUAGCUUAGGAGGCUCUGUGAUGGCCAAAGAGGCAGCUGUCACAGGGAGAAUUAAGACCCUGAAGCACACUUACCCUGUUGGGCUAUAGAUACUGGGAUGGCCCGGCUGCCACAAGCUAGAAUCCUGUAAAGAGAAAGAUAAGGAUGAGGUACAUGCAACUGAGCUGGGAUCUCCUGGUACCCUGGCCUCAGUGGGUUUGGAUGCAUUACGACAGUAAGGCAAGUUCCCUUUCACAUUAACUGACUGAUAGAAAGAGCUGGAGAAAGGAUGAGGCUUCAAGACUCCUGCAUUCGAGGAGGAAGCAAGUUCUUCUGGGACAGUGGCUUGCGAACGUUCAGCUCAGGACACCAGCUACUCCCAGGACGGCCCGCCUCAAGACCUCAACAAUCAUGGGGAGUUCCCCAAAAUCAUCAGGGCCCUGGAGCAGAACCCAGAGUAGAGAGUGGGUCUGGGUCCCCUACGAAGCACUGCACGGUGGUGUUGUUAAGGACAGUGGAUAUGAAGACCCCCGGAGUCACUGCUGCAGUGGCAUAGGGCAGCGGGUGUGAGGACUGCCUGACGCUUUCUGGGACAAGAGACUUUGGAAGACACCCCUGGGAGAGAAGCUGCUGAGUGAGCUGGCUGGAGGACUGAGUUGCGAAGAGGCAGCAGCAGCUCCUGGAGCCAGAGAGGGGCUGCAGACAGACAGAGAGAGGCAGGGGGCGAAGUGCAGCCGCAGGAAGGGGCAUCAGCCUCACAGAGCUAAUCCCCAGAACUGCCAGGAGGAGGCGCCGUCCAGCAACAAGGCGAGAUCAAAGAAAAGCCUUCAGCUUUGACUGAAAACCCCCGGAAACAAAGGCGUUCGUCACGCCCAGGAAACGCUCAGCAGUCACACGAUCUGGCCCUCACCCGCAGCCCUCACAAGCCAGUCAGUUAUGUGAUCGUAAACAAGGUGACGUGACAAACUAGACUUACCAACCCAUCCAUCUAGAGAUCUCCAAGCGCUUCAUGAGCAUCAGCAAUCGCAGCACUUACCAGCCCUGUGAGGUGGGCUUGAUCCCCAUAUUACAGAUGGAAAAAACUGAGGCACUGAGAAGGGGAACAACCAGUCAAAGUCAU